GUAAGUUGGGUAGUUAACUAUCGGUGUUUGGCAUUAAAUUGUCAAGAAGUCCAAUAUGAUUUCUAACACUGAGGAAGGUCCGCCCACUAUUAAAGAUUGCUUUCCGAAAGGGAAGGUGUCGCGAGGCAUGGCUCUGGUAUAGAGACGAGCGUAUUUAGUUACGGUGGAACGAGCAUCCCAAUCAGUGCAAGGCUUUAAGCUGCUUAGUCAAAUGUUAACAAUUUCCGUCUGAAUACAGGGAAAUACAAAAGGUGGCCUAUUCCCAACUUAC
rnacentral:RNase_P_RNA from 1 species